rnacentral:rRNA from 1 species
AUUGAACGCUGGCGGAAUGCUUUACACAUGCAAGUCGAACGGUAGAGGGGGCAACCCCUUGAGAGUGGCGAACGGGUGAGUAAUAUAUCGGAACGUGCCCAGUCGUGGGGAUAACGUAGCGAAAGUUACGCUAAUACCGCAUACGAUCUAAGGAUGAAAGCGGGGGAUCGCAAGACCUCGCGCGAUUGGAGCGGCCGAUAUCAGAUUAGGUAGUUGGUGAGGUAAAGGCUCACCAAGCCAACGAUCUGUAGCUGGUCUGAGAGGACGACCAGCCACACUGGAACUGAGACACGGUCCAGACUCCUACGGGAGGCAGCAGUGGGGAAUUUUGGACAAUGGACGCAAGUCUGAUCCAGCCAUUCCGCGUGCAGGAUGAAGGCCU